UCCUAACCGUGCGAAGGUAGCGUAAUCACUUGUUCUUUAAAUAAGGACUAGUAUGAAUGGCAUCACGAAGGUUAUACUGUCUCCUCUUUUUAAUCAGUGAAACUAAUCUUCCCGUGAAGAAGCGGGAAUUAAACUAUAAGACGAGAAGACCCUAUGGAGCUUUAAACCAUGUAGCACUUGCACCCAAUUAGCACAAAUUUCAGAAAAAUAUAUUUUACCAAUGCAAGAUUACUACAAGUUUUAGGUUGGGGUGACCGCGGAGCAAAAAGAAACCUCCACAUUGAAAGGAACCCACUCCUUAGCCAAGAGUCACACCUCUAUGCAUCAUAACAAUGACAUUAAUUGACCCAAUAUUUUGAUCAACGAACCAAGUUACCCUAGGGAUAACAGCGCAAUCCACUUUAAGAGCUCCUAUCGACAAGUGGGUUUACGACCUCGAUGUUGGAUCAGGGUAUCCAGGUGG
rnacentral:rRNA from 1 species